AGAAUAAUUCACAAUGGGCGAAAGCCUGAUGGUGCAACGCCGCGUGGAGGAUGACGGUCUUCGGAUUGUAAACUCCUGUCAUCGGGGAGUAAGACCUGGCGGUGAAUAGCCGACAGGGUUGAUAGUACCCGAAGAGGAAGGGACGGCUAACUUCGUGCUAGCCACCGCGGUCAUACGAAGGUCCCGAGCGUUGUUCGGAAUCACUGGGAGUAAAGGGAGCGUAGGCGGUUGGGUAAGUCAGAUGUGAAAUCCCGGGGCUCAACCCCGGAACUGCAUCCGAUACUGCCUGACUUGAGUAAUGGAGGGGUAGCUGGAAUUCUCGGUGUAGCAGUGAAAUGCGUGGAUAUCGAGAGGAACACUCGUGGCGAAGGCGAGCUACUGGACAUUUACUGACGCUGAGGCUCGAAGGCCAGGGGAGCAAAA
rnacentral:rRNA from 1 species